AUUGAACGCUGGCGGCAGGCUUAACACAUGCAAGUCGAACGGUAACAUAAAGGAGCUUGCUUCUUUGAUGACGAGUGGCGGACGGGUGAGUAAUGCUUGGGAAUCUAGCUUAUGGAGGGGGAUAACUACGGGAAACUGUAGCUAAUACCGCGUAGAAUCGGGAGAUGAAAGUGUGGGACCUUCGGGCCACAUGCCAUAGGAUGAGCCCAAGUGGGAUUAGGUAGUUGGUGAGGUAAAGGCUCACCAAGCCGACGAUCUCUAGCUGGUCUGAGAGGAUGUCCAGCCACACUGGGACUGAGACACGGCCCAGACUCCUACGGGAGGCAGCAGUGGGGAAUAUUGCGCAAUGGGGGCAACCCUGACGCAGCCAUGCCGCGUGAAUGAAGAAGGCCUUCGGGUUGUAAAGUUCUUUCGGUAGCGAGGAAGGCAUUUAGUUUAAUAGACUAGGUGAUUGACGUUAACUACAGAAGAAGCACCGGCUAACUCCGUG
rnacentral:rRNA from 1 species